rnacentral:rRNA from 1 species
UACGUAGGGCGCAAGCGUUGUCCGGAAUUAUUGGGCGUAAAGAGCUACGUAGGCGGUCUGUUGCGUCCGCUGUGAAAACCCGGGGCUUAACCCUGGGCUGGCAGUGGAUACGGACAGACUAGAGGUAGGUAGGGGAGAAUGGAAUUCCCGGUGUAGGCGGUGAAAUGCGCAGAUAUCGGGAAGGAACACCGGUGGCGAAGGCGGUUCUCUGGGCCGUUACCUGGACGCUG